GCGAGAGUAGCUCAGUUGGUAGAGCGUCAGCCUUCCAAGCUGAGGGUCGCGGGUUCGAGUCCCGUCUCUCGCUC
rnacentral:tRNA from 1 species